rnacentral:lncRNA from 1 species
GCAGACCCUACCUGGGUGCGGGGCUUGGCUGCACAGCUGCGGGGCCGGCCCUUCCCUUCGGCCGAGGGCUGCAAAACUGGGGUGAUUCAUGGCCUUGCUUUCAGAAACACUGUGGAAAAUAAAAGAAUAGACAGCAAGAUUUGGCCCAGGCUGACCGGAGGGGAGGGAAGAUCAGUGAAGCCUAUUGUAACUGAAGCACUGACGUUGCCAUCUCAGAGUCCAUGGCUUUGGCCAACAGAGAGGUCUGAGGGGUGGCAGCAUCGCCGCGAGGGCUUCGCAGCAGGAGCUUCCUCCUCUUCUCCAUUUUUGGAGUUCCUAACACCAGGAAAGCAAGGGGUGGAGGGCAUCAGGUCCCCUGGGCUGCACAUGGAUGUGAUCGAACUAAUGUAACGAAGCAGGCCGUUCUGGCAUAUAAUGGGAAGCAAAUCUUGUCACGAUGGUGGUACAGCAGCAAGGUUGGCCCUAAGGCCAACUUCUGCAGUCACGUAGACAUAAAUCCAAAGUAGUUCAGCUGCCUGCUGUGCAGUUACAUAUGUAUUUUGUGACCAUUGCCACCAUUUUUCCUCCCUUCCCCUCAGGGAGGUCUUGGGGAAUAAUUAAUUCAUCAGAAAAUAUUGCCGUACCAACGACACGCCAAUAUAUUCAUCAGCCAAGAGCCUGACAGUCGCAGAAGUAUGAGUAAUGUCUGGCAGCCUCCGACGCUCCCUCGACCCGCAGGGUCGUUAGGACUACGGCAGACCGCCGGCCGGUGCUGCUUGACAUGGUAUCCGGAUUGGGCCGGGCUCAAGACAGGUGCUUGAACGGGCGCGCACCCCUGGGCCCGGCAGCGGCGCUGGGGCGUCAGCGAGCUCCCGCGCCCGGCAGCCGAGCGCCACGGCUGCGUCCCCGGCCCAGCCGCGGCUGCCCUUGGGACGGGGACGGGGACGGGGACGGGGACCGGUCCCUUGCGUACCGACCGCCGCGCUUCGCCCGUGCGUCAGUACCCGCGAGGGGCGUGCGGCUCUGCGUGCAUGCCUGUCAUCGAGCAGAAGAAUAUAUGAUGCGUAAUAACAAUAUAACAGGAGAAACUCUUCUGACAAUGUGGGAAGCUGCUUUUUAUUGUGCAAGCACAACCGUCAGCAGCCUGUAUUAUUUCUGGUGGGGCCUGCCAUUCCUCCAAGUAAUGCUGCUUCAUUUUUAAUGCAGAGCAGUUGGAAGACACUUGCUCUGUCCUGCUUUUGUCAGUCACAGAAGGCAAACUUGCCACAAAGAAAUUGUACGUAUGACCUUUAAAAGUGACUGUUGCCUUUUCAUUCUUGGUCUGCAGUCUAAAGCAUAGUUUUUAAUAAAAGAUUGUUUCUGUGGUGCA